rnacentral:lncRNA from 1 species
UCGUAGUUUGUGUAAGGACACUGAGCAGUUGAGCUUGUCUGGAGUCUAACGUGAGGGAGAGGGGUGAGGAGCAGAGAAGCUAAUGGGUGACUGAGCAUAAGGAAUGUGGAAGGCUGGAAUGGGAGUGAUGAUCAGCGGGGACUCAGGAAAUCUAAUUUUUCCUCUCGAUCGAGGCCCAAAAAGAGACCUUAAAUCAUGUUUCCAGAGUCUCCCAGCUAGCAAAUUAUGGAGCUGGUAUUCCAGUGCUAUCGGGCUAGCUCUCCUCCCCGACGCUCUCUGAAGGGGAAAGUCAGCCCCUUCCCCAACCCUGGCGUUGUGAGGGCCUGAGCAUGUGCACUUGCCUCCCCGUCAUGCUCAUUGUAAU